GCUUAUCACUAUUCCAGAUUGAAUAUACCCGAUCUCGUCUGAUCUCGGAAGUCAAGCAAUCU
rnacentral:rRNA from 1 species